rnacentral:lncRNA from 1 species
GCUCAGCCGCUCCUGGGUGGGCGUGGGGUGACUGGGUGAACUUGCGACCAGGUGAACCUGCGACCAGGAAGCGACUGGCUGGAAUGGGGAUGGCCAGUGGCCCGGGCCCCCCUGACCCAGCGGAGUUCUCGAGAGUGUAGGUGCCCUUCCGGCUUGUGCUAAGGAGAGCUCAUCGAGGAGGCUGGCUUCAGGAGGAUGCAAAUCCUGGGAGCUGCUGCUGUUGGAGAUUAUUUGUGCAUUGCAGCAAGGACCCUUGAGAGGGGAUGGAGUGUGGGGGUGGUUGGCGCCCGGCUCUGCCAUCCCUUAGUGUCUGGUCUUCCAGGGGCUUGUGCUCCUGAAAGUCCCACUGCCUCAGCAGAAAAGAAGGUAAGAACUGCUCCUGAAAUUACGAGGGAAGUCUGGUGUCCCCAGCCUUUGACACCUGGAGCUUGGGGGGAGACUGGCUGAGAGGACCGUCAGCAGAGAGGAAUCUGAAUGAAGGUGGACAGCUCAUCCUUCUCCCAUUCUACCCUGAGAAGUUAGAGGUGUGGGUGGCCUGCAGCCCAGGCGCCCCCCUCCAUCCCUCUGUGUCGUUGGACACAGGCACCUGUAAAGGUUUGCUGCUUCUUUUCCUUUUUUAAAAAAGAUUUUAUUUAUUUG